UUAUAAAAUAAUAUAUAUAUAUUGUUAGUACUGAUAAAAAAAAUAUAAUAUUUGAGAAAUCUUUAAAAAAGAAUGAAAAGUUUAUAUUGGCGAUUUUAAAAAAUUUAAUGUGAUAAACAAGAAAAAAGAUUGUAUAUACAAGAUUAUUACAACAAUAAUAGCAAAAAAAAAAAAACAGACAAAUUAAAAUAUUACAACAGAAGACUUAUACAAAAAAUUAGAAAUUUUUAUUCUUAGUGGAUGACUUGAGAAAUAAACAUAUAAUUACUGAAAAUAUUUCUGUAAUAUUUUUGAUUAUAUUCUUCUAAGGCUUUUAGUCUGAUAUGUUUUUGGAAAUGUUUAGCUAUCAAACGGAUCGAAUUCUCGCUAUUAACGAUCGAAAUUCUGGAAGACUUGGCUUAAAUUGCUAAAUACCUGAUACAAGAAUGCAUUGAUUGCAUCACAAAUAUUAAAUCUAUGAUUGCUUGUAAUGUAAGAAGAAUAACAAUAAUUCAUUUCAAAAGUAAAAACAAAUGGUUCAUUUAAUUUCUUUUAUUUUUCGAAUGAAAUAAACAAUGACUUCGAAUCUCGAUAGAUUUUUUCGAAGUUAGAAGGAAAUUUUAUAGAAUUUAGUGAUAACAUUAAUGAUAUAAAAAUAAGGAUUUUUUAAAUUAUUAAUCACUUCAAUUAAUUAAUGGUAUUUUUACGUAAUUCUAUAAAAAAAAGACAACAACAAUUUUAAUUGCAACAACAAACGAAUCAAAAAAGAAGCAAACAUAUAAUUUUGUAUAUACUAUUUUGUAAUAUACUAUUGUAUAGUAUUACAUAAUAUUACAAUAAUUCAUUGCGAAAGAAAGAAUAUUUUGUUAUCAUAUUUUGUUGUUGAUAAAAGUUGAAGAGAUACACCUAUAGAUAUAUCUGAUAUUUACCUUUAAGAAGACAAAUGAUCUAACGAAGAAUUGAAGAAAUCUAGAUUAUCGAUAAUGAAAUCUGUGAUUACGUUAUUUAACAUCGACCAUAUUCAAUGUUAUAAUAUAUUUUAUUUAACUAUUUACAUUCAAUGUUAAUAAAAUUAUAGAUAUAUUACAAAUAAUGAACAAUA
rnacentral:lncRNA from 1 species